GCGUAAGCGUGCGUAGGCGGCUUUUUAAGUCGGAUGUGAAAUCCCUGAGCUUAACUUAGGAAUUGCAUUCGAUACUGGAAAGCUAGAGUAUGGGAGAGGAUGGUAGAAUUCCAGGUGUAGCGGUGAAAUGCGUAGAGAUCUGGAGGAAUACCGAUGGCGAAGGCAGCCAUCUGGCCUAAUACUGACGCUGAGGUACGAAAGCAUGGGGAGCAAACAGGAUUAGAUACCCUGGUAGUCCAUGCCGUAAACGAUGUCUACUAGCCGUUGGGGCCUUUGAGGCUUUAGUGGCGCAGCUAACGCGAUAAGUAGACCGCCUGGGGAGUACGGUCGCAAGACUAAAACUCAAAUGAAUUGACGGGGGCCCGCACAAGCGGUGGAGCAUGUGGUUUAAUUCGAUGCAACGCGAAGAACCUUACCUGGCCUUGACAUACUAAGAACUUUCCAGAGAUGGAUUGGUGCCUUCGGGAACUUAGAUACAGGUGCUGCAUGGCUGUCGUCAGCUCGUGUCGUGAGAUGUUGGGUUAAGUCCCGCAACGAGCGCAACCCUUUUCCUUAUUUGCCAGCGGGUUAUGCCGGGAACUUUAAGGAUACUGCCAGUGACAAACUGGAGGAAGGCGGAGACGACGUCAAGUCAUCAUGGCCCUUACGGCCAGGGCUACACACGUGCUACAAUGG
rnacentral:rRNA from 1 species